CUUAGUUGUCUCUUCUUCUUUCUAUAUUUGCAAUCUCUCCCUAUCUAGAUAUUUCUUAUUUAUUGAUAAACAUAUUCAAGUGAUUUCUUUCUUUUCUUUUUAGAGAUGGGAUCUCGCUCUGUCCCCCAGGCUGGAGUGCAAUGGUGUGAUCACAGCUCACUGCAGCCUCAACCUCCUGCGCUCAAGUGACUCUCUCACUUCAGCCUCCCAAGUAGCUGAGACUGCAGGUGCGUGCCACCAUGCCUGGCUAACUUUUUGCAUUUCUAUUUUUGUAGAUAUGGGGUCUCACUUUGUUGCCCAAGUCAGUCUUAAACUCCUGGCCUCAAGUGACCCUCCGGCCUUGGCUUCCCAACAUGCUGGAAUUACAGGUAUGAGUCACUUCCCCCAGCCUGACUUCCCUCUUUUGAAAGCUCAUUUUUUUUUUCUUUCUUCCCCUAUAAGUUGUCAUUCCAUCUCCUUUUGUUUCUUUCAAAUAUAAAGUGUAGGGAGCUCAAACUCUCAGCUGCCUUCAAGUUCUAAACUCUGCGCAAUGUUUCUAUCUUGCUCCUAUCCCAUCUUCUUCCCCUGGGGCUUCACUGACACUAUUUUUACCAAGAUAAUGAAUGAAACCCCAAAUCUUCACUCCAAUGGCCUCUUUCCAAUCCUCAUCCUGCUCAAAUUUUGAUUUCAUUACCUUACUUUUCUGUCUUUCUUCCUUUUUUUUUUUUUGAGACAGAGUCUCUCUGUGUCGCCCAGGCUGGAGUGCAGUGAUGCGAUCUCAGCUCACUGCAACUUCCACCUCCUUGGUUCAAGCAAUUGUCGUGCCUCAGCUUCUCAAGUAGCUGGGAUUACAGGUACGCACCACAACGUCCAGCUAAUGUUUGUAUUUUUUGAAGAGAUGGGGUUUCACCUUGUUGGCCAGGCUGGUCUCGAACUCCUGGCCUCAAGCAAGCUGCCCACCUUGGCCUCCCAAAGUGCUGGGAUUACAGCUAUGAAUCACUGUUCCAGCCUUAACUUAACUUUCAAUCCUGCCUUUUCAGUACAUUUUAUCUUCAGUUAUGGCCAUUGACUUAGUUCAGAUAACAUGAAGCUAGAAUAUUAAUGCAGUCUAGGGCCCUCCUCUUUCUUUUCUUUUUUUUUUUUUUUUAAG
rnacentral:lncRNA from 1 species